GACAUCACAGAAGGCUACCAGGUUGGUCAAGCAUGACUUCCCCUUGGUGAAUCCAUGUUAACUACUCCUGAUAACCUUCUUUUCUUCUACUUCUUGAAGAUGCCAUCCAGAAUAAGUUGUUCCAUUGGCUUCCUGGGACAGAGUUUGCAACAACUCUACUUGUAUUGAUCAACUUUGCUGGAGUUCAAAGAAGAGGCCACUGAAGAAACAAGGGCCAAGAUGCAGUCACUCAGUAUUACUGCUAGUUCCUGGUGAGCUCUGGCAAGCCACACAAUUAUUGCAAAAUUCAACUACAUACUUACAUGCACCA